AUUGAACGCUGGCGGCAGGCCUAACACAUGCAAGUCGAGCGAGUGGCGGACGGGUGAGUAAUAUGUGGGACUCUGCUCUGUAGGGGGGGAUAACGUGGGGAAACUUGCGCUAAUACCGCAUACUAUUGAAUGAACCGAUGUGGGAUUAGCUAGUAGGGGGGGGAAGGGCUCACCGAGGCGACGAUCUCUAGCUGGUCUGAGAGGAUGAUCAGCCACACUGGAACUGAGACACGGUCCAGACUCCUACGGGAGGCAGCAGUGGGGAAUAUUGCACAAUGGGCGCAAGCCUGAUGCAGCCAUGCCGCGUGUGUGAAGAAGGCCUUCGGGUUGUAAAGCACUUUCAGCGGGGAGGCGUUACCCGCAGAAGAAGCACCGGCUAACUCCGUGCCAGCAGCCGCGGUAAUAC
rnacentral:rRNA from 1 species